rnacentral:rRNA from 1 species
AAUCAACGCUGGCGGCGUGCCUCAGACAUGCAAGUCGAACGCGAAAUCUCCCUUCGGGGAGAAAGUAGAGUGGCGCACGGGUGAGUAACACGUAGGUAAUUUGCCUUUGGGUGGGGAAUAACUCAGGGAAACUUGAGCUAAUACCGCAUAAUGCAGCGGCUCGACAUCGAGACAGUUGUUAAAGCGGGGGAUUCGCAAGAACCUCGCGCCUGAAGAGAAGCCUGCGGCAGAUUAGCUAGUUGGUAAGGUAAUGGCUUACCAAGGCGACGAUCUGUAACCGGCCUGAGAGGGCGGUCGGUCACACUGACACUGACAUACGGGUCAGACCUCCGUA